UCCAGAAAGAAGCACCGCUCUUCAAGAGAAGAUGAAGAGGAAGAAAGUGGAGAUGUAAGGGAUGAUCGACGAUCCAAAAAAAAGAAGCAUUCACGACGUCAUAGACACAAAGAUGGUGGCAAUGCAUAUGAGGAUGAAGAUGAUGAAGAUAAACGAUCAAGAAAGAAGCACCGCAGACGGCAUUCCUCUCCUGAAUAUGAUAGUGAUGAAGAUGAUAAACGAUCAAGAAAGAAGCACCGCAGACGGCAUUCCUCUCCUGAAUAUGAUAGUGAUGAAGAUGAUAAACGAUCAAGAAAGAAGCACCGCAGACGGCAUUCAUCCCCUGAAUAUG
rnacentral:lncRNA from 1 species